UGGAUUAGGCAUGCAAGUCGAACGAGAACCUGCGGUUUCAAUCUUCGGAGAGAAAUCGUGGGGGAGAGUGGCGAAAGGGUGAGUAACGCGUGGAUAACCUGCCCCUUGAGUUGGGGACAACCCUGCGAAAGCGGGGCUAAUACCGGAUGUGGUCGUGCUGCGCAUGUAGCAACGACUAAAGGUGGGGACCCUUCGGGGCCUGCCGCUCAGGGAGGGGUCCGCGUGCCAUCAGCUUGUUGGUGAGGUAACGGCUCACCAAGGCUUACGGCUAGCCGGCCUGAGAGGGUGACCGGCCACACUGGGACUGAGACACUGC
rnacentral:rRNA from 1 species